GUGCAGCAGUCGCGAAUUUUUCACAAUGGGGGAAACCCUGAUGGAGCGACGCCGCGUGGAGGAUGAAGGCGUUUUCGUCGUAAACUCCUGUCAUGCGAGAACAAGAAAGUGAUAGUAUCGCAAGAGGAAGAGACGGCUAACUCUGUGCCAGCAGCCGCGGUAAUACAGAGGUCUCAAGCGUUGUUCGGAUUCAUUGGGCGUAAAGGGUGCGUAGGUGGCAUGGUAAGUUGAAGGUGAAAUCUCGGAGCUCAACUCCGAAACUGCCUUCAAUACUGCUGUGCUUGAGGACUGUAGAGGAGAAUGGAAUUCACGGUGUAGCAGUGAAAUGCGUAGAUAUCGUGAGGAAGACCAGUGGCGAAGGCGAUUCUCUGGGCAGUUCCUGACACUGAGGCACGAAGGCUAGGGGAGCAAACGGGAUUAGAUACCCCCGUAGUCC
rnacentral:rRNA from 1 species